GGCGACGGCAGAGGUUACGGAUCGUGGACUAUUCGAUUUCUUGGGGAAGAAGAAGGAGGAAACAAAACCAGAGGGGACAAUCGACUCAGAGUUUGAGCAAAAGGUUCAGAUUUCGGAGCCGGCGCCGGAGGUUAAACACGAGGAAGAAGAGAAGAAGCCGAGUCUCUUGGAGAAGCUUCACCGAAGUGACAGCUCUUCUAGCUCCGUAAGUUUAUAUUUAUGUAUAUCUUUUGCGUUAACGUAAGUUAGAAGUUAGAUCGGAUCUGUUGAUGAUUAUUUUCACCAGAUAGAAUGAUUUAUCUAAUUAUACGGAUUCGAAUUUUUGACAGUCAAGCGAGGAAGAAGGUGAAGAUGGUGAGAAGAGGAAGAAGAAGAAGAAGGAUAAGAAGAAGACUACUACUACUACUACUGCUGAAGGAGAGGUGAAAACAGAGGAGGAGAAAAAAGGGUUUAUGGAGAAGCUGAAGGAGAAGCUUCCAGGACACGGAAAGAAGCCUGAAGAUGCCUCAGCCGCCGCCCCCGCCGCACCUGUUGUUGUUCCUCCGGUGGAGGAAGCGCAUCCGGCGGAGAAGAAGGGGAUUUUGGAGAAGAUUAAGGAGAAGCUUCCAGGAUACCAUCCCAAGACCGUAGAGGAGGAGAAGAAGGAAAAGGAAUCUGGUUAAGACGAAGAAAAAGCGGAUGAUCAUUAUUAAUAUGAAUAAUGAUGAUGGGAGAUUUGCUUUGUUUUUGUGAUGAAU
rnacentral:lncRNA from 1 species